GCCUAAGACAUGCAAGUCGAACGGGUGGCCCACAGAUUCAAAGGAAGUUGAGUGCUUGCACAAGAAUGGAAUUUGAUGACGUGGAAUUUCCACCUAGUGGCGCAAGGGUGAGUAACACGUGGGUAAUCUGCCUUAGAGCCUGGGAUAACAGUUGGAAACGAUUGCUAAUACCGGAUGAUAUAAGAGUCGUAAAGAUUCUUAUUAAAAGGUGCCUUUAAAGCAUCACUUUAAGAUGAGCCUGCGGCGUAUUAGCUAGUUGGUGGGGUAAAGGCCUACCAAGGCAACGAUGCGUAGCCGACCUGAGAGGGUGAACGGCCACACUGGGACUGAGACACGGCCCAGACUCCUACGGGAGACAGCAGUUAGGAAUAUUCGUCAAUGGGGGAAACCCUGAACGAGCAAUGCCGCGUGAAGGAAGACGGUCCUCUGGAUUGUAAACUUCUGUUGUUAGGGAAGAACGGUAAGUAUAGGAAAUGAUACUUAAGUGACGGUACCUUUCAAGAAAGCAUCGGCUAACUACGUGCCAGCAGCGGC
rnacentral:rRNA from 1 species